rnacentral:lncRNA from 1 species
AUCAAAGAGAAUUUCCCUUUAGCUUAGCAAUGUGCUGAAGCUCUUAAAAGAUUGGAUCUGAGAGAGAGAGACAGAGAGGAGAAAGAGAACUAGAGACAGAGAGAGGCAGACAAGGAAGGGGGGGGGGGGUGAAAGACUUUCUUUUUCUUUCUAGAGGAAUUCUGCCCAGACUCUGCAGCAGUUGGUAGCAGGCAAGCUUUCUCCUGGGUGUCGCCUUGAAAAGUUGCAAAAUUGCUCUUCACCUGUAAGAACAUGCUCUUUAUCUUCCAGUCUCUUCUUGUCAAUUUGGAAAUUGCAGACUGCCCGGCUCAGAGUGGAACUAGUAGAUCCAGCUUUGCUACAUUUGGAAAAUCAGCAGGGGGAAUGGUCAUCUCAAAAAGACAAAAAUAAAAGAAGGGACUGAAACUUAACAUAAAUUACCAUGGCUGUCCCUGAACUCAGAACUGGAGAGAACCUUUUUAUUCUUUUACACACAGCUUAUGAUGGAAAUCAAUACGGAUUAUUUCGCAAGCAUUGUUUCGUAAAUAUUUAGUAUAGUUGCCUAACGUAAUUCAGACACUUAAAAAAUACAGCCGCUGAUGUACUAAUUCCAGUCAGGCAUUACAGUUUUUAAAAAGCCAAAAUUAAAAAAAUUAGAACUACUGAACAUCUUCUGAUGAAAACGAUAGUCACAGACUUUGCCCCAAAAUUUAUGCACUAAAUAGUGAGAUGGCUCUGUGCUCUUCCGCAGAUUUCCACGUUUCCGUGUCUGCCCAAUAUAGUCAACUGGUAACUAGAUCAAGUGAAUAAAAUAAAGCUAAAAACAUUAUGGAUUUUUCUAAAAAGUGAACAGGAACGUGCUUCUGUGUGUCCUGAAAUACACAGAUUAGUCCCAUUAUAAUCUCAUACUUAAGAAAAAAAUUCAUUUACUAAGGGAACAUUACUUGUUUACACUGGGCAAAUUGAAAACAAAAAUAAGAAAAGUGGAAAAUAAGAAAUGCAGUCCUUUAGCUUCAUGACGUAACAUGAGCUUUGUGGGAACAAGAGAGCAUUCCUUUAUACUUGUAUGCAAUCUGAGCUCAGUGGCUUUGAAAGCUCUGAAGUCCUCCACAAAACUCUUUCCUCCCUUUUUUCCCUCUUAAAAAAAAAAACACCUCAACUAAUGUAUAUAAUCUCAUCAGCAUUUCUAACAGAAAUUCUCACCUCAAAUUUCUUCCUGUGUGAGAGUAGAACCAGUCUCUGGAGUACUUGGCAAAACACCCGAGCCUCUUGUUUAAUUCAACAAGUGUGAGUUGUGCUUCUCCUGAAAGCAUAUAGCUCUUUAUACACGACAAAAAGAGCCACAGUGGAUGGCAAGCAAUCGUGUUUUAAGAUGAUGCAUCAUCUGUUUGGAUGCUGCCAGUCUUCCCCUGGAUCUGUAGAUGGCUCCUUUCUUAACAAAAUGUAGGCACAGAAUUGCAUUUACUGUCCACAGUGAUGAUGUGAAAGAUUAAAAAAUUGCCCUCCAUCAGAUUGCUAUUAAGAAAAAAAAGACUGUGAGGUCAGAAUUAUUUCUUAAUUGCAUUUCACACCUGGUUAAGAUAGUGUAUACAGCUGCAAGGAGAUGAAAAGAAUGAUUGAUCCUUGAAGAGAAUAGGUAGAGUAGGCAUUGGAAAGCUUGAGAGCAAGGCACACUGGGGUGGAGUGAAAAGCAGAAAUCACUUUUGGUAGAAUUAAUUUCUUGCCAGCAUUUGAAAAAGAGGAAAGUGGCUCUGGAAGCAGCCUUCAUUCUCCAAUGCUGACUGCAAAUCCCCCACCAAAACAGUCUCA